UACGUAGGGCGCAAGCGUUGUCCGGAAUUAUUGGGCGUAAAGAGCUCGUAGGCGGCUUGUCACGUCGAUUGUGAAAGCUCGGGGCUUAACCCCCGAGUCUGCAGUCGAUACGGGCUAGCUAGAGUGUGGUAGGGGAGAUCGGAAUUCCUGGUGUAGCGGUGAAAUGCGCAGAUAUCAGGAGGAACACCGGUGGCGAAGGCGGAUCUCUGGGCCAUUACUGACGCUGAGGAGCGAAAGCGUGGGGAGCGAACAGG
rnacentral:rRNA from 1 species